GGGAGGUGCGCGAGGUGAGUGCUCGCUUUCUCUUUUUCCCUUUGCUCGACACAGCAGCGGCAGAGAAGGGAAUGCGAGAGAGAUCAGAAGGCAGGGAGGAACAGUAGGUCGAGGGGCGAAGAAGCAGCUCUCCUGCGAAGAUGCUGUCUCCAUCAGUCAAAUUCAGGAUUGCCCUUGAAACAUCAGGAACCAGAGGGGAACCUUUGGGAAAUACCUGCAGGAGUAGCAGGUGCUAUCAGAAUUAAGGUACAAGAGAGUGGGAUGCAUAACUGCAGAAUUAGAGUUACUGCUGUUUUGUUCAUCUUUUUCUCCUUGUUGUGGAAAGAAGAUGGGCUUGGACUACUCAAAAUGAGAUAUGGAAGAACAAAAAGCUACCUGCUGAUGCAGCUUGGAUCACAUCACUCUUGGAAUCCUUGGUGUGGAAAACUAUCCUGGAAGUGUAGUUCCCAUGCAUGGCAUAGAAGUCCUCAACUGCCAUGGAAAUACUGGUAGAACCCAUCUUCCCCACCAACGUGCCCAGGUCGAGGAUGACUCCUACAUGGAAAGCAGCAGUCGAGUUCCUGCUUCCAUUCUGAGCUGCUGCUGCUGCUGCUAGAACAAAGCAUGAAUAAACAAAGAGGAAGAAUCGAGUUGUUCUCUCCAUGAGCUAUGGUUGUCCAAAGCAAACCCAAAAAGGUCUCCUUUAUAGAUGCUGGUAAACUCUGAAGUCAACUACCAAUUUUAUACCUGAACAAAUUAAGUUAGGCUUUGGAGGGCAAACUGGUGAUUAUGCAUUUUGAUAUCAUAUCGGAUGGUUGAAACGGUGAUUGUUGUUGGGGAGUUUGAUAGAUUAGAUAGUAUCCCUCUUUUCAGCAUAAUAUUACAUGAUUCUAUUUUGUUUUCCCUUUCUUGCGAGAGUUUUCCUUGAGGAGCAGAAGAUGGAAGCUCUUCGGGUGGUGAUUGAAGAGGAGAAAGAUGAGGUAGUGCACGACCCUUAACAGGGUAGUAGGCCAAUACUAAUAAGGCGAUUCCCUUCAGAUGCUUAUGAGACCUUAAGGGAUUAGCGAGUCGUCAAACGUGAUGAUUGUUCGGUCUCCUGCUCGGGAUGGAGGAGUUGUGUCGUCACCAUAGCGGGUGAGACAUCACUCCAUCAGUUGUCGAGAGUGUGACAUGAUUCCUUUCUACCGGCUAUCGAGAGAGUCGAGUCAUCUCGAUGAGUAAGACGUCUCCAUCUAUUAUUGAGAGAGUGCAUCUCGAGCGUCCAAAUGCCAUUGAUGAUAUAUGUGCGCAAUGAUGCAUGAUUGCAUAAGUUUGAUGAUGUUAUUUGUUAUUAUCUAUAGAAGAAUUCUUUUCUACUCUUUUUUUUUAUUGACCCUAUCGAUUCAUGCAUAAUAUAUGAUUAGCUUUUACAUAUGAUAUUUAUGUAUAUAGCAUAUUGUUGUUAGCUUACCCUUGACUUAUUUCUUUUCUCUACUGCACAUUUGUGCUUAUUUUAUUGUUUACCGGAUUGCAACAAAGAUUGAAAGGAGGAUUCUUUCAGAGCUUGGGUGGAGAGUUACAUGAAAUGAACGAAA